rnacentral:rRNA from 1 species
UAAGACGAACUGUCCAAACGUUGUUCGGAAUCACUGGGCUUAAAGGGCGCGUAGGCGGUCGAAUAAGUCGGGGGUGAAAUCCUGCAGCUCAACUGUAGAAGUGCCUUCGAUACUGUUCGUCUGGAGGGAGAUAGGGGUGUGCGGAACUUCCAGUGGAGCGGUGAAAUGCGUUGAUAUUGGAAGGAACGCCGGAGGCGAAAGCGGCGCACUGGAUCUCUUCUGACGCUGAGGCGCGAAAGCUAGGGGAGCAAACGGGAUUAGAUACCCCGGUAGUCCUAGCCCUAAACGAUGAGUACUAGAUUGUAGACUGAUCAUGGGUUUACAGUCGAAGCAAAAGUUUUAAGUACUCCGCCUGGGGAGUAUGGUCGCAAGGCUG